rnacentral:rRNA from 1 species
UACGUAGGGUGCAAGCGUUAAUCGGAAUUACUGGGCGUAAAGCGUGCGCAGGCGGUUAUGCAAGUCAGUUGUGAAAUCCCCGGGCUCAACCUGGGAACUGCAUUUGUGACUGCAUGGCUAGAGUACGGUAGAGGGGGAUGGAAUUCCGCGUGUAGCAGUGAAAUGCGUAGAUAUGCGGAGGAACACCGAUGGCGAAGGCAAUCCCCUGGACCUGUACUGACGCUCAUGCACGAAAGCGUGGGGAGCAAACAGG